rnacentral:rRNA from 1 species
UACGUAGGGGGCAAGCGUUGUCCGGAAUCAUUGGGCGUAAAGCGCGCGUAGGCGGCCCGAUCAGUCCGCUGUAAAACGUCCAGGGCUCAACCCUGGAAAGCCGGUGGAUACUGUCGGGCUAGAGUCCGGAAGAGGCGAGUGGAAUUCCUGGUGUAGCGGUGGAAUGACGCAGAUAUCAGGAGGAACACCGAUAGCGAAGGCAGCUCGCUGGGACGGUACUGACGCUGAGGUGCGAAAGCGUGGGGAGCGAACAGG